rnacentral:lncRNA from 1 species
CGUUCAGCACAGCCUCGGUGUCUGGCUGCUGCAGCCGGAGCCCGUCGGCCGACCCAGGCGGCGGGAAGCUUUUGAGGAAGCUCAUUGCCGGGGAAAGCAUCGCUCCACGCGAACCGAGAGAUAGCAUGCGGUUGACCAUAGAGACGGGAUGUUCUAGGCAACUCAGAUGGCAUCGGUUCCCCUUUCCCGCUCCUCUAAGGAUGCUUAGAAUAAUCGAGUGUUUUCUAUGUGGUUCUCUUUGAAGGUCAUAGGAGCAAACCCCGAGAGAGGAUGUAUAAGGAAUACCAAGCCUUUCCCAACAAAAAGCGGGAAGGGACCCAGGCCCCAGGAGUCCCUCGCCGAAGGAGGACUCACAGAAAUAAAAUCCACACGCAUCUGGAGAUCCCAAGUCUCCCGGCUGGGUGCACGAGUCUACCCUGCUUCCGCCUCGUCAGGCCUGUUCUCCUUGGGUUCACACAGCCAUUUACCAGACCUCUUAGUCCCCACGUCGCCGGAGAGAUCGAGCGCCCCAUCCCCACGAGUCAUGCCACGAGCACGAAAAGGUUACAUUAAUGAUGGACAGUGCGCAGCAAGACAGUCAAAAGACUGCCCGAGGGAAAGGUAGGCCACUGGUUAGGAACCCUUGCCUUCCCUGUUCGCUAGGUCCCAGUGAAUAAGAGCAGUGAAAACCUACAGGUUUGGUGAAUAGAAACCCAUAACAGAGACCUAUAGACCACACAGCAUACGGACUUUACCUCUUAUAUUUCUUCAUGGAUUCCUUCGUGGUUUUUGAGACAGGGCUUCUUUAAGUAUCCCAGGCUGGCUUCCAAUACAUAAUCGAUUUGCACCGAACUCCAGUUUACUGGUACUACUAUGAGCACCCAUCACCACACUUGCUCAAUUAAUUUUUUUCUUUAUGAUACACAAUAUGAACACAUUUUCUAUUACCCACUUUAACAGAUGGGACCUGAGGCAUUAAACUCACAAGCUAGAGUUGGUGGAUGGAAUUCAGUCAGUUGACCUCUAGACUCCACUUUUUUUGGCUGUAGAAUUGUAAUAUCUAUGGGGCUAAGGCUGUUUAGGUUGGAUAACAUACAUGGAGGAUGUGAUAGCAGUUUUAUCUUUCUUUCUCUUCUUCCUCCUUUUUUCCCUUUGGAUUCUUUUCAACAGAGGAAUCUAAAGAUUUUUUUCCUCACAUAUAUGUAUAUACCUACCUACAUACAGUCAGGUGUGAGCCACCCUGCCUGGGCGCAGUGACCCUAUCUGCAAAGGCAUUAGGCAGUCUCACAAGCUGACCCAUGUCUCCAGUCAGUUCCAAGUGUUACGUUUUAAAAUUUAGUUUGUUGUUAGUGAGACUAGGAGGCAGGUCCCCUGAACAGGAAUGAGAAGGUGGGAGUGGAGUAAGGGAGGGGAUGAGAAAAGAUUCUAGAACUCUCUGAAGGUUAAAAUCCUCGUCAUGUGGAUAUAGAUUGAGAGGAAGAAUUUGUGACGAUGAAGACAAGAAUAGACAAAGAAGAGAGGUUAAAUAUCGUUUCUAAAUUUCCAGUUUAAAACGUUGAGUAGGUGUGCUUUCUAAGUGGUAGAUUUCAGAAAGAGGUUUUCAAGGUAGGUUCCAAGGGUAGCAGAUAGAGUUCUUGCUGGAUUAGCUUGGGUUGAAUCCCCAGUACUUAAAAAGAGUAGCCUAUGAGUCUGAUUGGAGAAAUGGUUAAUCUGAGACAUUCCCUAAGACAUUUAUUUGGUGAAACAAACAGUGCUUGGUUCAGAAAAGGAGCCCCCAUGUAUGUCAGAGAAAACUGGCAAGAACCAGUAUAGUAGUUUCUCAUCAAUUUGUCUUAGUCUUCAGAAUCAUUUACAUUGUAAUAGCCCAAUGGCAAGACAUUUUAUACAAGGUGCUAAGUGAAGAAAGAAAUCUUAGCUGUGAAGAAGAUCCCUCCAAGCACUGGGUGCCAGGCUCCAGCAUUUUAAUGCAAACCAUCACCUGGAAACAACUGACAGAGCCCCGUAAAGAUAAGAGGUUAUAAGGGUUCCUGCCUUUGGGUAACAGUAAGAGUUAGGCUUACAAACCCACUCUUACUAGACCAGAAUUACUACUAUUAGAACAUAGGGACAUGUUCUAAUGAGGUUUGAUCAUUAUUAUGUUCUUUAUUUUUGGCCCCUAUAGUAGAAUAAAAUGAUUUGUUUGGAGAGGUCAUAGUACAACGACAGGUAUCCCACUAGAAAAUAAAAUGUUAAAGAACAGACAAAACAGGCUUGUAAUAGAAAAUCAGAGAACCGAAGUGUGAGGGUGUUCUCUCCUGUUGUGUCAGCUUUCUGUAACAGUUUCUGACCGUGGAAUUCAGUUGUUGCCACAGAGCCUGCUGGCUUCUUGGAAUUUCUCUUAGAAACUAGUGACAUUUUUGUAAGAACUUUUAAAUACAGUUUAAUAAUUCCAUGACCUGUUCAUUUUAAACACCGAAAGUCGAGCAAGAGAUAAUUAGAAGACAGAUUAAAUAGGAACAUACCCAUCUCUUUCAUGCUUCAGAGAAGAACAUUAUAUAAAGAAGAAUACUCAGAAGAAUGGAGAUGAGAGACAAAGAGAACUGAAAAGAGAAAGGCUCAAAAGCAAUAGGAAAGCUACCAGGUCACAGACACAGACAGGGGUUAGAAUCUUCUAGGGGUUAGGCUAGAAAGAUGGAAACUGAGUCAGGUGGCUCUGAAAUGGGCAAGAGGUACUGGACAGGGAAGGUGGUCUGUACCACAAGCUUGUCUUGUAGGUUCUAGCUAACUUUCCCUAGAGAUGACUGUAUGCACUAGUGAUGUAUACACUAGGCCACAUCCUCUUAGUGCUCUUUCUCUGAUUGUCGUUUAGACUUUGAAUAACCUUGAACUUAUUGUCAGAAUUACUCAAGGCUUUAUCUCAUCCAGAAGGCUCCUAACAUCUAACAUUUAAUUUCAUUAAAAUAGUUUUAUUAUAAUUCCACAUCGACUAAAUAAUUACCAUUUAGUGCUUUAAAGCUUAGUUUUUAAAAUGAACCAUCCUCAGGUCUCUUAAUCGAAGAUAAAAGUUGACAGCUAAGUUCUAGCCCCAUGCUCAGCUAAGACUCUUAAAUGUUAGGGCUAGGUUUGGAAAGGUGGCUUAGCACUUAAGAGUAGAAGCCAAUCUUUCAGAGGACAAGGGCUCUAAUCUCAGCACCCACAUGGUGGCUCAUACCUGUCUAGUGUAGGGGAUCCACUGCCCUCUUAGGACGUCCAAGUACACCAUGCGUGUAUAUUGUUAAACAGGCAUACAUGCAGAUAAAAUACCCACAUACAAAAAGAUUUUUAAAAAGAGGUUGCUAUCACUGUCAAGAUCAUUAAGUCGCCGGCGUUUCUUCCUGCGAGCAGCAGCUGCCCUCUGGGGCCGUUUAUUUUCCUUUCUUUCUUCAUCCAAAAUAGUAGAAAUGUCUUUCCCACGGUGACCUGUGAUGGUGGAGAUAUCUUUCCCCCGGCCAACUCCUGAAAGGAAGAGGUGUCUGUGGGCCUUUCUGACUCAACAAUAUUAAGUCCCACAACAAGAACGAAACGCACUGAGUAAAGCAGGUGGGCAUGCACCUGUCCUGGGACACACGGGCUGCACAGCCGCUGUGCUCUCUCUCCUCUGUGUGGGCGUCACUAUGCUGGGCGAUGCAGGCGUGUGAAGAAGAGGCCUCCUCGGUAGAGGGCACCAGGACAGUGUCUGUCCCUCCUUGGGAUGCUGAAUACACUCUAUGUUGAAUGCCUGUGUUUUCUGUCAGUACCAGUUCAUGCCAGAUCAAGGUGGACUUUUCCAUUUGAAGCAACAUGUUGUUAAUACUUUUAUAUUAUUUUCUAUUUUAGAUUUUAUACAAUACAAGAAAUAAAAGACCAAAUAUCAAAUU